AUACGUAGGGGGCGAGCGUUGUCCGGAAUGAUUGGGCGUAAAGGGCGCGUAGGCGGCCCGGUAAGUCUGGAGUGAAAGUCCUGUUUUUAAGAUGGGAAUUGCUUUGGAUACUGUCGGGCUUGAGUGCAGGAGAGGUUAUCGGAAUUCCCGGUGUAGCGGUGAAAUGCGUAGAGAUCGGGAGGAACACCAGUGGCGAAGGCGGGUAACUGGACUGCAACUGACGCUGAGGCGCGAAAGCGUGGGGAGCAAACAGGAUUAGAUACCCUGGUAGUCCACGCCCUAAACGAUGAAUACUAGGUGUGGGGGGACUGACCCCUUCCGUGCCGGAGUAAACACAAUAAGUAUUCCACCUGGGGAGUACGACCGCAAGGUUGAAACUUAAAGGAAUUGACGGGG
rnacentral:rRNA from 1 species